UCUUGUAUCUCGUUUACAGGGAAUGCUGACAUCUGUAAUGAUGAUUAUGGCAACACUGAGAAGAUAUGUCCAGAAAGUUUUUCAAGUUUUUCAGAAACUUAUUGUUGCGGGUCACCUGGCUUCUACUACUGUUGUGAUUCUGAUGAUUAUGACCUGUAUAAUGAAGUAGCUGAUUCAAUCAGCACUGCGAUCAUUAUCGUCAUUGUAAUCGUCAUCAUCGUUGUUGUUGGUACCAUUGGUGGCAUCAUAGCAUGUUGUGUCUGCGGUUGUCUGUGUUGCGCUAGAUCUCGCCCGGUGACAAGAACAUACGUAACAACGCAGCCAGUACAGGGCCAAACUCUUAUUCAGCAACAAGCAUAUUACGCUCCCCCCGGCGGUGCUUAUCCUCCCCCUGCUGGAGGCGAGAAGGCCCCAAAUUACCCUGUUUAAUUUUUAUAAAUAUGAAGAAACAGGUCACUUCUCGAAUCUGUUAUUUAUCAAGUAAUGAGUUAAAAUCAAAAUGAUUGAAAACUCAAUAAUUUCUGCUCUUCCAUUUUUUACCAUAACACGUUGUGAUUGUCGUCCAUACUUGGGGAUUUACACACAAUUUAUAUUCUUUUAAGAGCUUAGAUUUUUAUUUUGAAAAUUUAUAAUUGUUAGCUUUCUAUCGUUGGCAUACGGUAGGAUACUUUUGCUGUGAGUUGAUAUUAAUGAUCUGCCAUACAGUAUUUUAAUCAUAUUCCAGUAUUUUAAAAAUAUGUAUUAAUAUUAUGGUUUAUAAUAACAUUAUCAUUAUUUUUAUUGCUACAGUACAUGAAAGGUAGCUUCCAAUUUUCGUUUACUCUAAUGGAUUAUCUUUGGAAGAAUAUGUACCUAUGUAUCGUAAUGUUGUGUUAUCGUUAUUAUAUUAUGCUAAGUAUUAUUGUUAAUUAUUUUAUUAUUAUUAUUACCAUUGUAUUAAUAGUUGUUAGCUACAGUUGCUUUUUUGUUUGCAUUUGUAAAAAGAAAUGAUCAUCAUUCCAGAUAAUAAUUGAUAGCUUGCAAUGUUUAACCAUAUUAUAAAUUCAGAAAAAAAUUGGUGAUAGUGAAAUAGUGAUUCAAGAAGAAAUAAAUGGAUUAUGUUUACAAUAUUUUUGUUUAAAAUAUUUUAUGUUUUGGUUGAAUUUUUUUCCCCAGAAUAAUUAAUGUUGACGUGGGCCAGUAGUGGCUCUAGAAAUUUACCAACAGUGGUCCAACAAGCCAGACAGAGGGGGUCUGAACCAAAAGGCCAACUAUAGCCAUGGUUAGGGUUCUGGAAUAAAAUUCCUGUUUGGAGACAUUGGGUGGGGCAGGGAGGAGGAGUUAUGGCUUAGUAUGGCCCAAGAAGUGCCUCUUUUGCCAAACUUCUGGUUCUGCCACUGUUACAGGUGUAAUGUGGCAUUUUAUUGUGUAGACACACUUGUAGGAGUUUGGUUGUGUAAUUGUUUACAUAGAUUUUUAGUUCUGUAUUUUGCCAACCUAGUAUUAUAGGCUGUUCCUAACUGUUGUUCCUAAUUGUUGUUUAUUAUAAUGGUGUUUUUGCGAAUAAAAGACAAAAGUGAAGCUUUUAGUUAACUAAAGUCAAAA
rnacentral:lncRNA from 1 species